rnacentral:tRNA from 1 species
CUCGCCCCGGCCGGGAAAGCGGUGCAGCACCUGAUGGGCGCUGAACGUGAUCACGUUCGACGCGCGGGGCAGGU